GGCUCUUUGUAAUCUUAAAAAAUAAGGAGUCCGACCUGCCCUGUGUUUAAAUUAACGGCUGCAAUGAGAAUUGUACUAAGGUAGCGUGAUAAGUUGUCUUUUAAUUGAAGAAUGGUAUGAAUGGUUUGAUGUAAAAAAGCUGUCUUUAUAAAAGCUUAUGAAGUUUCCUUUUAAGUGAAAAGGCUUAUAUAUUUAUAAAAGACGAGAAGACCCUGUCGAGUUUAAUUAAGAUUUAAUAAGAGAUUAUUAGUUUAAAAUUUUAUUGGGGCAAUAUAGGUUAAUUUAGCCAUCUAUCAAUAAGGUAGAGAUCCUUUAAGAGAGAAAAGAGCAAAAACUACCGCAGGGAUAACAGCGUUAUCCUUUUUAAGAGAUCUUAUUGAGAGAAGGGUUUGCGACCUCGAUGUUGGAUUAGAAAAACUUUAUGGUGCAGCAGCUAUAAAUAGUAAGACUGUUCGUCUUUUAAUUUCUCA
rnacentral:rRNA from 1 species